AGCGAACGCUGGCGGCAGGCUUAACACAUGCAAGUCGAGCGGGCACUUUCGGGUGUCCGCGGCGGACGGGUGAGUAACGCGUGGGAACGUGCCCUCUGGUUCGGAAUAACUCAGGGAAACUUGAGCUAAUACCGGAUACGCCCUUUUGGGGAAAGGCUUGCUGCCGGAGGAUCGGCCCGCGUCUGAUUAGCUAGUUGGUGAGGUAACGGCUCACCAAGGCGACGAUCAGUAGCUGGUCUGAGAGGAUGAUCAGCCACACUGGGACUGAGACACGGCCCAGACUCCUACGGGAGGCUGCAGUGGGGAAUAUUGGACAAUGGGCGCAAGCCUGAUCCAGCCAUGCCGCGUGAGUGAUGAAGGCCUUAGGGUUGUAAAGCUCUUUUAUCCGGGACGAUAAUGACGGUACCGGAGGAAUAAGCCCCGGCUAACUUCGUG
rnacentral:rRNA from 1 species